CCCUCCCUAAUUUGUGAAUUCCUUCAGAACUCCAUUCCACUCGCCUCCUUCGCAUCCAGAACUCCAGAGUGCAAACCACUCUCUCUCUCUCUCUCUUCAGCCUUCACUGCUGCAGCCUGCCACAGUGCCACUCGCCGUCGCGGCCUUCGCCCUAAACCCUUUCUUAUUCGCGAAUUCCUCCAACUAGAGUUCAGAAACCGCUUGCCGCUCGCAGUUUUCGGAUUUCAGUCCGCCUUCGCUCGAUUCGUCGCUGUCUUCUCCGUACUUCUUCUUCGCCCUUUGCUCUGCUCCUCCGCCGCCCUCUGCAGUCUUCUCCCACCCACAACACACUAUCUGUUUAUAUCUCUCUGUCAGAAGGCUUCUACCAGUUUCCAUUGGCUCUCUACGAUUCUCAGAAGCAAAAAUUCAGUUUCCCUCUCAAGCUCUUCGAUAUUACACAGAUUGCAGGUAACUCUAGUGUUUCCGAUGGCAGUGUUGAUAUUGUGCAUUUAAAACAAAUCCUUUGUGUGUAUAAUCUUAUUGUAAGUGAAUGGUGCAUGGUUUUUAUGUGAUGGGUUGCCAAGUUUGUGCGGUUUUGGUCGUCUGGAUGCCCGCAUUUCCUUUCUAUGAGAGGUUUUAUGAUGUUUGGCAUUAAAUUUUGCCUCGAGUUGAUGAUUAUCUUGUUUUCAUCUUGGUCAAUUAGGGUAUCCCCUUGUUGAUGUGUUUAGCUAUUUAUUUUUCAUAUGCAUAGCUGCGCGUUCUCUACUGGUAGCAAGAGUCCAUUUAAUCACGUUAAUUUCCUUGUCUUCCAUUUUGAUUGUUGAAGAGUCUCUCUGCUGGAGUGUCUGUUUCUAGAGCUACCAAGAUUCUAUUGUCUCCUCCCCCACAGUUAAUCGCCUCUUUUUUCACCUUGAAGCCAUUGGCGACAUUCAGAUUUGAUUCCCAUAUCAAUUGUGCGCAAACACGUCACAUGAAAGUAUAGGCAUUACUGUUUGGUUCAACAUGGCCUUUACAUCGUGUUCUAAAGGUUGAUGUGAUUACUUGUUCAUUUGAGUGUUUGACCAUGUAUUUCGAGUUAACUCUGUGAAAAGUAUUGCGUGUUGUGCCUUGUUUAGGAGGCGGUCUAGCUGGGAUCAACCCGUACAUCUUCUGAAUCAGUUUAUGACUCAGGUAUUCAAGUUCUGGACAAGAAGAGAACACAAUAGUGUGAAAUGAAAUUUGAGCAAUGUCAGCCCUGGCAGCAUCCUUCGACAUGCUCUGAAUUGUGUAAAAUAGUAGAGAAAUGUCAGUUUUCCUGGGCUGCAGACGUUUGUACCUAGAGUGAUAUGUAGUGCUUAUUUAAGAAAAAAAGAGGCCACUGUUGUUUUUGAUAUCUGAAAUAUUCAAGAUAAUGACACUGCAUUUGCUUGUUCGUUUCUGAA